rnacentral:rRNA from 1 species
UGGGGAAUUUUGGACAAUGGGGGCAACCCUGAUCCAGCCAUGCCGCGUGUGUGAAGAAGGCCUUCGGGUUGUAAAGCACUUUCGGCCGGAGCGAAAUCGCGCGAUCUAAUAAGUCGCGUGGAUGACGGUACCGGACGAAGAAGCACCGGCUAACUACGUGCCAGCAGCCGCGGUAAUACGUAGGGUGCGAGCGUGAAUCGGAAUUACGGGGCGUAAAGUGUGCGCAGGUGGCCGCGCAAGUCGAGUGUGAAAUCCCCGGGCUUAACUUGGGAAUUGCGCUCGAAACUACGUGGCUCGAGUGUAGCAGAGGAAGGUGGAAUUCCACGUGUAGCGGUGAAAUGCGUAGAGAUGUGGAGGAACACCGAUGGCGAAGGCAGCCUUCUGGGCCAACACUGACGCUCAUGCACGAAAGCGCGGGGAGCAAA